rnacentral:misc_RNA from 1 species
GCUUCGGCGGGUGCCCCGGGUCUCCCGGGGCGUUCAGCCCGCCGGCAGCCUUCAAAUUCUGUUUCUUUGCGUUGGCAUCUCGAGUAUACAAAAAUAAGUUAAAACUUUCAACAACGGAUCUCUUGGUUCUGGCAUCGAUGAAGAACGCAGCGAAAUGCGAUAAGUAAUGCGAAUUGCAGAAUUCCGUGAGUCAUCGAAUCUUUGAACGCACAUUGCGCCCGCCAGCAUUCUGGCGGGCAUGCCUGUUCGAGCGUCAUUUCAACCCUCAGGCCCUGCCUGGCGUUGGAGGACUGCACUGCAGCCUCCCAAAGCGAGCGGCGGCGGCGCCCCACAACCGAACGCAGUAGUUAUACCUCGUUCUGGGCGUGGGACGUUGUCCUGCCGGAAAACACCCCCUUUUUAAUUG